ensembl:snoRNA SNORD58 Small nucleolar RNA SNORD58
GUACGAUGAUGACGAUCUUAGGACACCUUUGGAGGUCACGACCAGUGAAACGAAAUCAUAUCCUGAGUGCG